AAAACUCCUCAGUAGAAGGCAGCUGCAUUAUCUAAGGGAGGGAACAUGUUAAACAACUUGAUGCAGAUGAGCAGGUAGCCAUGGAAGUCAUGAGCUGAGGCUGCAGAGUCUAGAGCCAGAGCGUGGAAUAAACUUGGGUCUCAAAUCACCCCUGGAGCAAAGCCCCCAUCUAAUCAGGAACUUCUACUUUCAACUUUACAUGCAUGAGAAAUGAACUUCUAUCAUGUUAGAGAAAUCCUUACACGGCGCCCUUGAGAGCUUUCAUACCGCAAGUUAUCCAUUUUCCUCCCCUCAAACCUGGCAUCGGUGUUUAUUAAAACAAAGCAAAAUAAAACAAAUAGACAAA